UUAAGAGGCUGGCUUGUGCCCGUUCACUCACUGGUCAAGAGCGAUAUGGAGGAACUAUUGGCAUCCCUCCAGUAUCUACCCCUGCCUUCUCCCAACAGGGCGCAGAUACAUAAUGCUGUUACAAUGCUGGCCAGGAAACAACAUCCCAGCCUCCCGGGAGCUGGGUAUAAGUAGGGAUGACGAGAGUAUAUCGUGUGCCUUAUGCCAUCUCAUCAUCCUAGCAAGUGUCCAAAAUCAACACCGGGACUCCCAUGUGUCAGCUGAAGCAAUGGUUGUUCAACAAAAGGCUUGACAGCCGUGGCCUGAGAGAUAAAGAACUCAGGUAAUAACUACCAAAGCGUGAGCAGCCAGGCCCCUGCCAUCACACUCUUACACCUGGCAGUUCCCAGCUUUCUGGCCCCGAGUGAUGAACUCCUGAAAUCCAACAGUUAUUUCAUUAAAAUGG